rnacentral:rRNA from 1 species
GGGCCCGCACAAGCGGUGGAGCAUGUGGUUUAAUUCGAUGCAACGCGAAGAACCUUACCUACUCUUGACAUCCAGAGAACUUUUCAGAGAUGAAUUGGUGCCUUCGGGAACUCUGAGACAGGUGCUGCAUGGCUGUCGUCAGCUCGUGUUGUGAAAUGUUGGGUUAAGUCCCGCAACGAGCGCAACCCUUAUCCUUGUUUGCCAGCGAGUAAUGUCGGGAACUCCAGGGAGACUGCCGGUGAUAAACCGGAGGAAGGUGAGGACGACGUCAAGUCAUCAUGGCCCUUACGAGUAGGGCUACACACGUGCUACAAUGGGGAAUACAGACGGACGCUAAGCCGCGAGGUGGUGCCAAUCCUAGAAAAUUCUUCGUAGUCCGGAUUGGAGUCUGCAACUCGACUCCAUGAAGUCGGAAUCGCUAG